rnacentral:rRNA from 1 species
GAUUUCUGGCUUGUCAACAUUUAGCCGGCCACGGUUUCGUGUGUCAGUGCUACGAUGUUCUGGCCAUCCUUCCAAUCGCUGUUCGGUCGCGUCUUCAUUGAUGCGGCUCGUCGACAGUAUUGGAUCUUUUACUUUGAAAAAAUUAGAGUGUUUCAAGCAGGCUUUAUGCUAUGAAUACAUUAGCAUGGAAUAAUAAUUUAGGACUUCGGUUCUAUUUUGUUGGUUUCUAGGACUGAAGUAAUGAUUGAUAGGGAUAGUUGGGGGUGCUAGUAUUCAGCGGCCAGAGGUGAAAUUCUCGGAUUCGCUGAAGACUAACUUAUGCGAAAGCAUU